CUNUUUCGUGAAAUUUGGGUUAAGUCCCGCAACGAGCGCAACCCUUGUCCACUAGUUACUAACAGUUCGGCUGAGCACUCUAGGGAGACUGCCGGUGAUAAAUCCGGAGGAAGGUGGGGACAGACGUCAAGUCAUCAUGGCCCUUACGGGCAGGGCUACACACAGUGCUACAAUGGCCGGUACAGAAGGCUGCCAACCCGCGAGGGGGAGCCAAUCCCACAAAGCCGGUCGUAGUCGUGGAGUCUGCAACUCGACUCCAUGAAGUCGGAAUCGCUAGUAAUCGCUAAAUCAGCAAGNGUC
rnacentral:rRNA from 1 species